rnacentral:rRNA from 1 species
CCUACGGGAGGCAGCAGUGGGGAAUUUUGGACAAUGGGCGAAAGCCUGAUCCAGCAAUGCCGCGUGCAGGAAGAAGGCCUUCGGGUUGUAAACUGCUUUUGUACGGAACGAAACGGUCUGCUUUAAUACAGUGGGCUAAUGACGGUACCGUAAGAAUAAGCACCGGCUAACUACGUGCCAGCAGCCGCGGUAAUACGUAGGGUGCGAGCGUUAAUCGGAAUUACUGGGCGUAAAGCGUGCGCAGGCGGUUAUAUAAGACAGUUGUGAAAUCCCCGGGCUCAACCUGGGAAUUGCAUCUGUGACUGUAUAGCUAGAGUACGGUAGAGGGGGAUGGAAUUCCGCGUGUAGCAGUGAAAUGCGUAGAUAUGCGGAGGAACACCGAUGGCGAAGGCAAUCCCCUGGACCUGUACUGACGCUCAUGCACGAAAGCGUGGGGAGCAAACAGGAUUAGAUACCCUGGUAGUCCACGCCCUAAACGAUGUCAACUGGUUGUUGGGUGCAUUAGUACUCAGUAACGAAGCUAACGCGUGAAGUUGACCGCCUGGGGAGUACGGCCGCAAGGUUGAAACUUAGAAAGUAGUAGACGNGNGAGAGUCGACGAGACACAGGAGGGUUAGAGG